ensembl:snoRNA U3 Small nucleolar RNA U3
AAGACUAUACUUUCAGGGAUCAUUUCUAUAGUUUCUGACUUGAAAAAUGUGUUUCUAAAGUGUUUGGUCUUGUGAAUCACUGUGAUGAGUCGUGUUGUUGUUUUCUGAGCGUGAAGCUGACAGAGAGUAAUGAUUAACUUCAGAGACUGUCUGUCAUUGAUGACUGUUCUUUGCUUCUUUAUGGAGCAUUGAGAAAGGGAUUAUGAUCAGAGUGGU